CUGCAGCCUCUCGCCCAGCUUCUUGGUGGAGGUGGCUUGGGUUUCCUGGGUCAGCCUCUCCCUCUCGGCUAUCAAGGUAUCCAUCUAGAAAAUACUGAAGGAGAGGAGUGACAUCAUGGAUACUUCUGGGAUCUGUAGGGAGCUAUGAUAAUAGAAGAGAACAUAUAUCACAUUCAUAAAAUUGUGGGUGAUAGCUACCUCAAAUCAUCUGAAUGGAUGAGCGGUUAAUUUGAGGAUCCAGCUGCUCCCACAACUGGACUUGAAAGAUUCCAUUGCACCAUUCUGAAGAAGAGCAAAGCAGUUAUCUUGAAUGUCCUGGUCAAUAUCUAUCCCUCAACCAAUAUCACUAGAACAAAUUAUCUGACACACUGAAGAUACAGACAAAAACAAAACUUACAUAACAGAUUUAUCCCAAGGAGUACAUUUCACU